AUUAAACGCUGGCGGCAUGCCUUACACAUGCAAGUCGAACGGCAGCACGGGGGCAACCCUGGUGGCGAGUGGCGGACGGGUGAGUAAAGCAUCGGAACGUAUCCUGGAGUGGGGGAUAACGUAGCGAAAGUUACGCUAAUACCGCAUAUUCUGUGAGCAGGAAAGCAGGGGAUCGCAAGACCUUGCGCUCUGGGAGCGGCCGAUGUCGGAUUAGCUAGUUGGUGGGGUAAAGGCCUACCAAGGCGACGAUCCGUAGCGGGUCUGAGAGGAUGAUCCGCCACACUGGGACUGAGACACGGCCCAGACUCCUACGGGAGGCAGCAGUGGGAAUUUUGGACAAUGGGCGCAAGCCUGAUCCAGCCAUGCCGCGUGAGUGAAGAAGGCCUUCGGUUGUAAGUACGCUUCGUCGGGAGGAAUAG
rnacentral:rRNA from 1 species